UUGACUUGUCUACCUAAAUUCCUAUGUUGAAAUCUAAUCCUCAGUGGGAUGGUAUUUGGAGAUGGGACUUUUGAGAGGUGAUUAGGUCAUAAGGGUGGAGCCCUCAUGAAUGUUAUUAGUGCCCUUCUGAGAAAAGACUUGAGAGCUAGCUUAUGCCUUCCACCACAUGAGGACACAGUGAGAAGUCAGCCGUCUGCAAACCAGGGAGUGGGCCCUCACCAGACAUUGGACCUGCUGCCACCUUGAUCCUGGACUUCUCAUCCUCCAGAACUGACUUUUCUCUGUGGAGUUGGAAAGUUCACCUUCAAGUUCAGAAAGAUAGUAUGUUGCAGUUUGGGUUCCUUGGGAGAAGAAGGAGAAGGAGAGGGAGAAGAAGCAGCAGCUGCAGCAAGGUCAUCUGGCCCCCCGCCCAGCAUUCCACCUUCCAUGGCACACCACCUCUCUAAGCCUGCAGCAUCCACAUCAGUCAUUUGCAGGAGGACAAAGGACAGACUGGUCAGUCAACAAAAGCACUGCCCAUCCAGAUCAAGAAAGGGGGCAUUCGUUGAGCAUCUACUGGGGCCUCAGACUAUCCCUGAUCACACAUGACCUUAUCAGCCACCCCGGUGGAACAGUCCUCAUUUCUCCACCUCCUAAAUAAGAAACUGAAGCUCAGAGGGGUGAAGGGGACUGUUUUGAGUCACUUGGCUGCUGGAAGUUCGAGCUGGGAUCUUCUUCCCCCACCCCAGUUGCCUGUUUGAUGACUGCUUAAACUUUGUGAAAUCAUUUGGCUUGACAGAAUGCUUAAGAGCUUUUCAAAGUGGUAACUGGAACUCACUCUGCCACACGUAUUUGUGUAUUUGUCUGUUUUUCUUCUCUUUUCUUUCUCUUUUUCUGGAAGGAAAAAGCAAUCAUCUAGUGAAAAAUAUUUUCCUUAGAGAUCACUUAAGGUAUUUGGCAAUUUGGAUUGCCAAAUAUCACAAAAGAGACUAAGAAGUAAGACAUGGGACUGAGGGCAAAAAGAAAACAUUCAACAAGUCCGAAAAGGCCAAGGAAAUGCUUCAGGCUCACUUCCCUUGCCACCGCCCCAGACGUCCACACCGCCUUUUGAGUUGGCAAACCCUUGGGAGGCUGAGUCAGGGUGGCCUGGGCCACCUCUUGCCAAUCUUGGGAACCCUCUAGAAUCCUGUUUGAAAGCAAACCAACUGCUCCCACCCCCCAAGUCUUGGUGUGUUCGAAUUUCUUUUCCCAUGCCAAAAUCUGAUUUCCUGUUUCUAAGAAGAAAAGCUUUAAAAUGUCCCUUAAAACAAAAAAAGACUCCUUAAGGGAGCUUAAACAUCAAAGGACUCUUAAAAAGUAGGGUUUUGUUUGGUUAAGUAUACGUAAAUCAGAAAAUUUUCAAUUAAGUUUUCCUUUAAGGUGCUAAGGUUUCUUACUGGAUUUGGGCAAAAGAUUUGUGGACUAACCAUAUAGAUUCUUGGGGGCUAUAAGGAGCGUUAAUCUGGUCCAAUCUGCUUAUUGCAGUGAUAAGUGACUUACCUAAGGUCUCACAGCAAGCAAGUGUAAAAAAUAGACCUAAGCCCAGGCUCUUAAUGCCCAGUUUGGUGUGGUUUCCAUGCAUCUGCCUAUUUCUCCUACAACAGAAAGUUACAAGAUUUUUUUCAAAAUCGAAGGUUGAAGUUCGAAACAGGCAGAAGGAAGCUAUUAAGUGUGUAGGUUUUUUUUUAAGUUAUGAGUUUGAAACAAGUAACUGUGACUACUAACCUUUUCCUGAGCACUUAGCAUGUACAUGUGUUGUUCAUUUAAUUGCCUCAAUUCUAUGAAGUAUUUACUAUGUUUUCUUCAUUUUACAAAGGAAAAGGGAAAGUGAGGGAAGACAAUGAUUCAAAUUCUUAGUUUAAGCUUUUACUCUAUUUUCUGAGUGGCCAGAACAUGCCAGGCUUUUUCUGAUACCUGGUAUCAACUCAUCUUCAAAGCAACCCAGAGACAUUGGUAUUAUUGUCUCCAUUGCACAAAUGAGAAAAUCAGAUCUUAAGAAAAUCAAUCUGCCCAAGUGCUCACCACCAGGAAGUAGCACAGUGAGGAUUAGAACUUAAAUCUGGCCCUCCAUGCUUAUUCUCUUUCUGUUACCCUCUUGACAGAGUCGUUGGGAGGGUCAAAGCAGAUCAUUUAAGUGAAAGCCUUCUGUAAAAACUGUAAAGAAUUUAACAGAUUUGAGGGAUUAUCAUGCUUAAAUCUAAGUUGUUCUUUUUUCCUAAAUUUCCACUCUGGCUUGUAACAACAGGAUCUAAGAGCCAGGCAUGACAAGGGGCCCAGGUCUCUCAGCUGAAAAACAUUUUCCAAAUAAAAGAUUUGAUUGAGCACAUGCUUGUUUUCCUUGGGUGGGUCCCAACCACCCAAAUGUUUAAUUGGGUUGGAAAGUUUUGAUCCUGAUGGCCAUUGUUGGAGGCAAAUGAGAAACGUGGAGCCUUGCUCUCUGACCCUGAAGGAAAGAAGAAAGCCCGAAAAAACAGAGCUAUAAUCCUGCUAGCAGUUAUGCCAUCCAAAUAGCAGCAUUAUUAGACCAAAUGCUGCUUCAUUCAUUGGCUUAUUUGUUUAUUUGGGGCUAUCUUAUGAGCAUCUGCUGCAAGCCACACUCUGCUUUAGGCACAAGGAAUACAGAGAGGAAUGAGCUACAGUUGUUCCCUUGAGGACCUCAUAGUCCUGAGGACUUCUGCAAACAUUCCCCAUGAACAUUUCUCUACCCUUCCUGGUCAUAUUCUGUUCUUCCGUCUUUGCCCCACACAAUUUAUGCCAGUGUUAUGGCUGGAUAGUGUCCCUCCAUAAUUUGUAUGUUGAAGACCUAACCCCCAGGACCUUAGAAUGUGAUUAUAUUGGAGAUACAUUCUUUAAAGAGGUUAAUUAAGGGAGCUGGGCGUGGUGGCUCACGCCCGUAAUCCCAGCACUUUGGGAGGCCGAGGUGGGCAGAUCAUCUGAGGUUGGGAGUUUGAGACCAGUCUGACCAACAUGGAGAAACCAUGUCUCUACUAAAAAUACAAAAUCAGCCUGGCGUGGUGGCGCAUGCCUGUAAUUCCAGCUACUUGGGAGGCUGAGACAGGAGAGUGGCAUGAACCCAGGAGGCAGAGGUUGCAGUGAGCCAAGAUUGCACCAUUGCACUCCAGCCUGGGCAACAAGAGCAAAACUCCGUCUCAAAAAAAAAUUAAUAAAUAAAUAAAAGAGGUAAUUAAGGUAAAAUGAGGUCAUUAGAUGGGCUUUAAUCCAAUCUGGUGAUUUUAUAAGUGGAGAUUAAGACACAGACACACACAGAUGGAAGACUCUCUGAAGACACAGGGAGAAGACAGCCAUCUACAAGCCAAUAAGGGAGGCUUCAGAAGAAAUAACCUUGCCUACACCUUGAUCUUGGACUUCCAGCCCCCAGAAUUAUGAGAAAAGGAAUUUCUGUUGUUUAAAUCACCCAGUUUGUGGUUCUUUGUUACAGCAGCUCUAGAAAACUAUUACAACCAGCCAAAGCAUUGAGUCUGAUCUGCUGAGUAUGAGAGUUAUGUCUGUGUUCAUUGAAUGAAAGGAAGAAUGAAUAAAACUAUCAUGGGCCAAUCCUCAAGGUGUUUGCAGUCUUAAGGGGACCCUAGUGUUUUUUCUUAUUCUGUGCUGUGUGCUGGAGGCACUGAGAUGAAAGCUGUGGACCUUCUUCAUGGAAUGUGUAUGCUAGCAGGGAAACCAAGCUUACAAGUAUUUCAUACAUAAUAAUUUUCGAAGUACUAUGAUAGAGGAAUGCAACACCUGAGAACCUGGAAGAAUCCCCUAAUCUAGUGAGGAGAAGAGAAGGUCAGGGAAGGCCUCUUGGAGAAGAAACCACCCAAGCUGUCAUGAAGUACAAACAGCUGUUACCCAGCAGGUUGUGGAGACAAACCAUUCCAGUCACAUGGAAUCCUAUGCAGCCACAAAAAGGAUGAGUUCAUGUCCUUUGUAGGGACAUGGAUGAAGCUGGAAACCAUCAUUCUCAGCAAACUAUCACAAGAACAGAAAACCAAACACCACAUGUUCUCUUAUAAGUGGGAUCUGAACAAUGAGAACACAUGGACAUAGGGAAGGGAACAUCACACACCAGGGCCUGUUUGGGAGUGGAGAGGCUAGGGGAGGGUUAACAUUAGGAGAAAUACCUAAUGUAGGUGACAGGUUGAUGGGUGCAGCAAACCACCAUGGCACGUGCAUACCUAUGUAACAAAACUGCACGUUCUACACAUGUACCCUAGAACUUAUAAUAAAAAAAGAGAGAGAAAAAAAAAGAAACUAUGGAUGACAUUAGGUGAGGACUUACUAUGCUACUUGACACAUAGUGGGUCUGUGAUUAGUCAAUAUACCUGAUAUAGUUUGGCUGUGUUCUCACCCAAAUCUCAUCUUGAACUGUAGCUCCCAUAAUCCCCACAUGUUGUGAGAGAGGCCCAGUGGGAGGUAAUUGAAACACGGGGACAGGUUUUGCCCUUGCUGUUCUUGUGAUAAUGAUUAAGUCUCAAGAGAUCUGAUGAUUUUAUAAAGGGCAGUUCCACUAUGCAUGUUCUCUUGCCUGCCACCAUGUAAGACGUACAUUUGCUCCUCCUUCACCUUCCACCAUGAUUGUCAGGCCUCCCCAGCCAUGUGGAACUCUGAGUCG
rnacentral:lncRNA from 1 species